rnacentral:tRNA from 2 species
CGCGGAGUAGAGCAGUGGUAGCUCGUCAGGCUCAUAACCUGAAGGUCGGUGGUUCGAUCCCGCCCUCCGCAA